rnacentral:rRNA from 1 species
AUUGAACGCUGGCGGCAGGCUUAACACAUGCAAGUCGAGCGAGCGGCGGACUGGUGAGUAAUGUCUGGGAAACUGCCUGAUGGAGGGGGAUAACUACUGGAAACGGUAGCUAAUACCGCAUACCAUCAGGUGUUCCCAGAUGGGAUUUGCUAGUAGGUGGGGUAAUGGCUCACCUAGGCGACGAUCCCUAGCUGGUCAGAGAGGAUGACCAGCCACACUGGAACUGAGACACGGUCCAGAUUCCGACGGGAGGCAGCAGUGGGGAAUAUUGCACAAUGGGCGCAAGCCUGAUGCAGCAUGGCCGCGUGUGUGAAGAAGGCCUUCGGGUUGUAAAGCACCUUCAGCGAGGAGGCGUUACUCGCAGAAGAAGCACCGGCUAACUCCGUGCCAGCAGCCGCGGUAAUUC